rnacentral:misc_RNA from 1 species
CGCUAUUCUCUGCAGUCUUUAGUUUGGUUAUGUCUCUGAAAGAGGUCCUUUGGGUGGGAAUAGUGCUUUCGCUAUGUACGAGCCUGGGAGAAGGAAACAAGGAAGAAGAAACUGUAAAUAUUUGGGCACAAAAUUUAGGUGAUGAAUUAUGGCAGCUUGGCAUGCAUGUCUCAAAAUACGACACCAUUAUUUCUAGUUAUUCAACAUUGAAUGCACGAGUCCUACCGACAAAUGGGGAGUCAAUACUGAAUUCUAUAGUUGAAAAAGUCAGCAAAAUGUUAAAAAGGAAAAUGGAUGCUGUUAUGUGUAUAAUCGAGGCAGCGGAAGCUUUGGCAGAGGAGGCGGAGACAAAUGUGACACGGCCGAUCUACUACAACAGUGCCAAGUGUUCAUCAUUUAUAGAUGAGGAGACCGGUGAUGUUUUCAAUUCCACACUGACCAGUUGCAAGUGGGAGGAGGAAGACCCGACUCUCGCAGAUGAAGAAAGGAGACCCUCAAACUUAUACAAGAACAUUACAGUCUCACCGGAUCCGAACUUCUUCAACAUCCCUGUCAAUACACACGAAAGUGCAGUUCACAUGCCUACUGAUGUCUAUGACUAUUUGAUGCCAGUUCAGUCAGCCUUGAAAUGGUCAGAAGAGUUAGAUGCAGUGUUUCGCCAGAACUACGAAGGCGAUCCAACUCUUAAGUGGCAGUACUUUGGCAGCAACACAGGCUUCCUCAGGAUGUAUCCUGCUAUUCAGUGGAAGAAGGAAGAGGAUGUGUACGACUGCCGCAAGGCUCCAUGGUUCAUAGAAGCCUCCACUUGUUCCAAGGAUGUGGUGAUCCUGUUUGACCGAUCUGGCUCCAUGAAGGGCAUGAGUGAUUCCAUCGCCAAGCUCACCAUUAACCAGUUGCUUUCAACUUUCAGCAACAAUGACUUCAUCAACAUCCUUGGCUUCAAUACUUUGCUCAAUGUACAUGAGAUGGUGCCUUGUUUCACCAAAGACAAGCUAGUUCAGGCAACAGAGGAAAACAUAAGGACAUUCAUGCAUUAUGUGAAUGAGAGCCAGCCUGAAAAUAAGGCAAAUUUUUCCACAGCUUUCAUCGCUGCAUUCAACUUGCUCCAACAGUAUAGAGAGACAGAGACAUGUCCAGACAAGACGUGUAACCAAGCGAUUAUGCUGAUAACGGACAGUGUAGCGGAUAACAUGACUGAGGUGUUCGAGUUGUACAACUGGUUCGAGAACCGAACCCACAUCCCGGUCCGAGUGUUCACCUACCUCAUCGGGCGAGAAGUUACCAAAGUGCGAGAGAUACAAUGGAUGGCAUGUCUCAAUAGAGGUUACUAUGUACAUAUCCAAGGACACAGUGAGGUGAGAGAUAAGAUCCUGAAGUACAUUCCUGUUAUAGCCAGGCCUCUUGUCCUUCAAGCUGUUGAUCACCCGCUCUCUAAUAGUGUAUUCUGUAUUUUGUUGUCAGGUUACUAUGUACAUAUCCAAGGACACAGUGAGGUGAGAGAUAAGAUUCUGAAGUACAUUCCUGUUAUAGCCAGGCCUCUUGUCCUUCAAGCUGUUGAUCACCCGCUCUCUUGGACUCAUGUCUUUAUUGAUUUCAUGGACCCCAAAGUAGAGGGGUGGCUAAUCGAUUCAAUGGAGUUCAAGGAACAACAGGACCGCCUCAGCAAGCAUUCUGCCACCCAGAGCCAAUAUUUUUCACACAGUAAACAAGACAGUCAAUAUAUACUGAGGUUCAAGAAGGGUGAGGAAGACGGGGGUUUGGAGACAACAUUCUGUGAAGGCUUUGAGAAGGUCUACGAAGAGGAAGAGUUUAACAUUGCGCCAAAAAUGCAGGAGUAUCGGCUCAUGACUUCAGUUUCCGGUCCUGCCUUUGACCACAAAAUUAACCGAGGAAAUGAGUCUCGAGAAGCACAGCUUUUAGGAGUGGCAGGCUCUGAUAUACCUGUCAAACACAUCGAGAAGCUUACAUUGCCUUAUAAGAUUGGAGCCAAUGGCUAUGCGUUCAUGAUCACUAACAACGGAUAUCUUGUGUUUCAUCCAGACUUCAGACCUGUGCACCAAGGAAAGUUACGAACUAACUACAACAGUGUUGAUUUGACAGAAGUAGAAUUGAUGGAUGAUGACAACAGCACACCUCGGGAACCACAUGAGAAGAUAUUAGAGCUGCGACAAGCUAUGAUCAAUCACACUGGGGGCCAGAUCAGUAACAUUUCUCAUCUCCGCAUGAAGUUCCCUUAUGAUGAUAUGAGACGAGUUGGAUCAGAAACCAGAAACUACUACUUCUCUGGCAUAAAGGGAACUCCCUUCACGAUAGGACUCGCACUUCCUGAGGGAUACGGCAACUACUGGAUAAAGGCAGGGAACAUCAUCAAGCGCACUAAACUGGAAGGUGUUCCUCUCACUAGUUUCUUCAGUGGCAACUGGAAGAUCCAUCCUGACUGGGUUUACUGCGACCACUAUAUCACUCGCAAAAAUAUGAGCCCGGAAGAAAAAUUAGUUUACUUUUUGAAAAAAAUAUAUCAAGAGAAAACUGACACUCCUGAUGGUGGCUGGAAGAGCAAGCUCCAGUUUCCCGCAGAGGAAGAUUUACAAGUGGGAAAUAUGACUUAUGGUUGUAACAAACAUAAAAUCAAGAGAGAUGACUACUUCUGUGAUGUAGAGUUGAUGCAGCUCCUCGUGUUUGAUGCUAAAAGCACUGACUCAUCAUACAAAGAUACAGUUUGGACACCGGAGAACAAUAUUGAGAGGGACUUGGUGAAGAAAUACGGAGUUUCAGUGAGGUUUGUGGCGACUCAGAGUGGUCUCACCAGGUGGCAGCACAUCACAGAACUGCCUCCGGAUCAACUAGAGUUCGGAGAGACCAACAACAAAGCAGUGGGUGAAGCCUGGUACAGGUCAGCUGUCUUGCAGCACUACAUCAAUGACGAGGACUUUGUCUUCUCUGUUCCAUUUGAUUCUGGGAAAGUGGAAAACUUGACUGUAACUGCGAGUUACGCAAUAUUCCGACGCGACGGAGGCCACGAGGCACCCGGGUCUGUGGUGGGUUUCCAUCUCAGCCACUCGGCAUUGUUUGAUCGUUUCAGAGAGGUCACGUCUAAGUCUAACUGCAAAGACUGCUUGGCCCCUUGUUCAUCGGAUACGAUCGAUUGCUAUGUCAUCGAUGGGAAUGGGUACAUCGUCGUCUCUGAAAACCGAGAGGAGACUGGAACGUUCUUUGGAGUCAAAGAGGGAGCAAUCAUGGAGGACAUGACUUCAAAGAAGAUUUUCCGGAAGAUCCCCAUGUUUGACUACCAAGCGAUAUGCUUUGAAGUCACACAUUAUAAUAAUGCUGCUGAUGUUCUAUUAACUCCAUUCCGUCUUCUGCACUGGCUGGUGAAAUCAUUUGUCUCUACGAUAGCUUGGCUUAUAGUUGAGUCCAACUGGAAUCACGUUUGGGCCGCUAUCACUGAACGAUCAUCGGAAGAAGAUGUUCUAGACUAUUAUGACCCGCAACAGACAGAAACGUUGGACGUAACGACCACUUCCCUGCCCAAGAUAGACGUGAGGACAGUGAAGUCUACUCGAACUUGCAGGUCCUGUGACAAGUCAGGCUACAGGUAUCUGCUUCAGAGCACUGACAAGCAGGCUGACAGGUCUUACUCACACGAGGAUCCUUGUUACAGGCCGUACUUUGUGAGGAGGAUACCUCACACAAACCUUUUGCUGAUCGUAGUCAAGGCACUGUUCCCGACCUGUUCUAAAGAGUCGACUACAGAGUUCAAGGAGGAGUUGUACCUCGCUGAGCCUGAUCCUAAGAUUCCAUGUGUCAAACUCUACCUGAACACAUUGCCGCGCAGACGGCUGGCCGGCUGCUACAAUGAACACCCCCAGGAGUUGGAGAUAGAGAAUUGUGGGCGAGGUGGCACACUGACUGUCAACUCGUUGUCCUGGCUACUCCCUGUGUGGCUCCUCAACAGAUUCUUUCUAUGAUCAGUAUUCCUCUACUUAUUGAUGUUCCCGUAUUUUUAAUGGUGAGAAAUUGGUUUUUAUACACACAGUUUUAAAGAGUAAAAUCUAAGCACCAUUUGGUUUGAAAGAUAUGUGAAUCCUGUAUUCCAGCACGCAUCCUCACUGUAUUUACACACUCAGUAAGUUAGGUUACUAUAAAUUUUGUGCAAGAUGGUUACCGAAACUCUUGACAGAAACCCAUAAAAAUCAGCGUAUGGCUGCUUCAUGGACACUUACGAAUAAGAUAAUGACUUGCUGACUCAGGACCUUGCACCCAGCGACUACCACCUGCUUCCAGCAAUAAAGACCCGGUUUGCGAUGCAGCACUUUGGAACUGCGGGAGAAUGUGACUACCUAGCUGAAGUCUCAGGUGACAACAUUUUAUAGCGCUGGAUUUAAAAACUAGUUCACUGCUACGAUAGAUACCUAAUUUGUAUGGUGGACUAUGUUGAAAAAUGGCAUUUUAUAGUCACAUUUAAAUGUACAUAAUAAAACUUUUUCCUUGUCCUUUGCUUUUGUUUAUAU